rnacentral:rRNA from 1 species
CGGCAGCGGAAAGUAGCUUGCUACUUUGCCGGCGAGCGGCGGACGGGUGAGUAAUGUCUGGGAAACUGCCUGAUGGAGGGGGAUAACUACUGGAAACGGUAGCUAAUACCGCAUAACGUCGCAAGACCAAAGAGGGGGACCUUCGGGCCUCUUGCCAUCAGAUGUGCCCAGAUGGGAUUAGCUAGUAGGUGGGGUAACGGCUCACCUAGGCGACGAUCCCUAGCUGGUCUGAGAGGAUGACCAGCCACACUGGAACUGAGACACGGUCCAGACUCCUACGGGAGGCAGCAGUGGGGAAUAUUGCACAAUGGGCGAAAGCCUGAUGCAGCCAUGCCGCGUGUAUGAAGAAGGCCUUCGGGUUGUAAAGUACUUUCAGCGGGGAGGAAGGCGUUGUGGUUAAUAACCUCAGCGAUUGACGUUACCCGCAGAAGAAGCACCGGCUAACUCCGUGCCAGCAGCCGCGGUAAUACGGAGGGUGCAAGCGUUAAUCGGAAUUACUGGGCGUAAAGCGCACGCAGGCGGUCUGUCAAGUCGGAUGUGAAAUCCCCGGGCUCAACCUGGGAACUGCAUUCGAAACUGGCAGGCUAGAGUCUUGUAGAGGGGGGUAGAAUUCCAGGUGUAGCGGUGAAAUGCGUAGAGAUCUGGAGGAAUACCGGUGGCGAAGGCGGCCCCUGGGACAAAGACUGACGCUCAGGUGCGAAAGCGUGGGGAGCAAAACAGGAUUAGAUACCCUGGUAGUCCACGCCCGUAAACGAUGUCGACUUG